AUUGAACGCUGGCGGCAGGCCUAACACAUGCAAGUCGAACGAGUGGCGGACGGGUGAGUAAUGUCUGGGAAACUGCCUGAUGGAGGGGGAUAACUACUGGAAACGGUAGCUAAUACCGCAUACCAUCAGAUGUGCCCAGAUGGGAGUAGCUUGUUGGUGGGGUAACGGGUCACCAAGGCGACGAUCCCUAGCUGGUCUGAGAGGAUGACGAGCCAAACUGGAACGGAGACACGGUCCAGACUCCUACGGGAGGCAGCAGGGGGGAAUAUGGCACAAUGGGCGAAAGCCUGAAGCAGCCAUGCCGCGUGUAUGGAGAAGGCCUUAGGGUUGGAAAGUACAUUCAGCGUGGAGGCGUUACCCGCAGAAGAAGCACCGGCUAACUCCGUGCCAGCAGCCGCGGUAAUAC
rnacentral:rRNA from 1 species